rnacentral:rRNA from 1 species
UACGGGGGGGGCAAGCGUUGUUCGGAAUUACUGGGCGUAAAGGGCUCGUAGGUGGCCAACUAAGUCAGACGUGAAAUCCCUCGGCUUAACCGGGGAACUGCGUCUGAUACUGGAUGGCUUGAGAUUGGGAGAGGGAUGCGGAAUUCCAGGUGUAGCGGUGAUAUGCGUAGAUAUCUGGAGGAACACCGGUGGCGAAGGCGGCAUCCUGGACCAACACUGACACUGAGGAGCGAAAGCCAGGGGAGCAAACGGG